rnacentral:rRNA from 1 species
CCACCUUUGACAUGUACGGAAGUUGCCAGAGAUGGCUUCGUGCUCGAAAGAGAGCCGUAACACAGGUGCUGCAUGGCUGUCGUCAGCUCGUGUCGUGAGAUGUUGGGUUAAGUCCCGCAACGAGCGCAACCCUUGUCAUUAGUUGCUACGAAAGGGCACUCUAAUGAGACUGCCGGUGAUAAGCCGGAGGAAGGUGGGGAUGACGUCAAGUCCUCAUGGCCCUUAUAGGUGGGGCUACACACGUCAUACAAUGGCUGGUACAAAGGGUUGCCAACCCGCGAGGGGGAGCUAAUCCCAUAAAGCCAGUCGUAGUCCGGAUCGUAGUCUGCAACUCGACUACGUGAAGUCGGAAUCGCUAGUAAUCGUGGAUCAGAAUGUCACGGUGAAUACGUUCCC